rnacentral:rRNA from 1 species
UGCGCAGGCGGUUGAGUAAGACAGAUGUGAAAUCCCCGAGCUUAACUCGGGAAUGGCAUAUGUGACUGCUCGACUAGAGUGUGUCAGAGGGAGGUGGAAUUCCACGUGUAGCAGUGAAAUGCGUAGAUAUGUGGAAGAACACCGAUGGCGAAGGCAGCCUCCUGGGACAUAACUGAGCUCAGGCACGAAAGCGUGGGAGCAAACA